AGUGGGGUCGUAAACUGUCUGGGUUUUGCGUAACAAAAGUUCAAGUUGAUACAACUGCAAGUAAAUAAUGGUGCAUAUUUCUGUAGCCUGACCAUAGACUACUUUACUGGAAACAUCUUGCUGGCAUGUCAAGGAAAGGGCAGGGGCUUACCGUAUACUUUGGUAGUAGCGACAGUAACAGACUGUGUGGUACAUGGCGUCUCGUAAGGAGAUAUCAACAAAUAUGGCGCUCGACCUUUUUUUAACUGAUAUAAAAAGCUGUGGUACUUCGGCUCUCUGCCAGGGAGGUCAGAGGUAACACAGACUGAGACCACGCCCGAAAGUCGAGUGCACAAAAAUAGAGUGUCGCUCUGAGACUUUUAGUUGAAUGGCUGAUGACUGUUACAGCUUAUUUUCCCUUGACCUGGAUCAGCCUUUUUGAGUGACUUAACAAGGGGGCGGUGCAGCGCACACCACUUAUCAGAAACAGACUGGAGCGGAGCGAGAACCUCAUAGACAGCGUAGAAAGCUGCCUCUGUUGUUUUUACGCAUAGUUCAUCGUUCAUAUUUUUGCUCACUACUCAACCAAUUGGCAGCUCAUCGCUCACCGCUUAGAUUCUACACGUAAGCGCAGCAUCACAGCGUCAGUGAAGGUAGGGCGACAUAAUUGGCGUUCCUGUGGAUGGAGGAGGCUGGGCUACGGCCGGGUGAGGGCCCCAUUCCCCUCUCCCAUAAUUCCUGGAUGAAACAGUUGUUGCAGCGCUUCCGGGACUCCAGUUUCAGAAAGCGGGUUGCUGGGACGGAUCCGGCUGGGCAGAGCGAGCAGGUGGACUCUACUCCCCGUCUCAGGAAGGGCCUCCUGCUGGCUGCUGUCAUCCUGCUGGUCUUCACUCUCAUGCUGCUGCUGCUCUUCUGGAACUACCAGUACAUCAUGGUCUGGAAGUUGUUGCACGACCAGGAGUACACGUCCUUCCCAGUAUUUGGAGGGAUGGAGGAAGAAGAGCAUGUGAAAGAAAGAGAGAGGCCGUGAAGGAGAGAGAGAGAGAGAGAGAGAGAGAGAGAGAGAGAGAGAGAGAGAGAGAGAGAGAGAGAGAGAGAGAGAGAGAGAGAGAGAGAGAGAGAGAGAGAGAGAGAGAGAGAGAGAGAGAGAGAGAGAGAGAGAGAGAGGGCUUGGUGUGAGUGAUUUAUUUGGACAGAUAAUAAACAAGAGCACAUCCAGUUUUCUUGCUAGGUGCAGAUCAGAGAAAGCUAAAUAGAAGGCAAAAUGUUUGGACAUAAAAAUUGCUCAGCAGUAAGUAAAUGUCAUUACUUACUUGAUGGCUUGUCGUGUUAAGGCACUGUUCCGGUGCAUGGAUGGGCCUCACGGUCUGCCGUUGAACCUGGACCAUGCCAUCGCUGACUGUGACUGGCCGAAAGCGAAUAGCUCCACAGAAUCCUGCACUUGGGCCAGUUAGCAUGGCCAUGGAUCUUCAAAUUAGUUUUGUAUGUGACAAUGCUGCAAAUAUGAUGUUAUUGCCAUGUGUAGCCUCCGCCUGAUUCUAUUGGACAGUCAUCCGGUAGUUCCUGUUUGUUAUGGUGCAACUGGUGCAGUGCAUGUCCAUGUCACGGAGGUUAAAAUGUAAGAUAUAGUUUAAGAACAGCAGCAGUGAUUAUAAGCUGAAUGUCUUAAAUGUGUGGUAUUAUUUAAUCCAAUUAAAUGGAAGAUGACUGUACGUUUAAUGUCAAUCAUGGGAUUUUUUUGUAACUUGUACCUAGUUGUAGCAUACAUAGUUUAUUUUCACUUUCAAAAUGCACAUACAGUUUACUAUUGUUUGGAAAAUUUCUGCCAAAAUUCCAAAAUUCUUCAAAGACACUCAGUUUCUCUGUAUCUGUGUUAAAUACAUUUAUAGUGUGUUUUGCCACAGGGGGGAGACAAAGCCCACAUUAUGUACCGCAUAUCGGUGGUUCCCGACCUGAUUCCUGGAGAUCUAGUGUCCUGUAGGUUUUCAUUUCAACCCUAAUUUGGCACACUUAAUUCAACUAAUUAGCAGCUCAAUGAGAUUUCUAACUGUUGAAUUAGGGUGUGCUUUGUUAGGGUUGGACGGUAGAUCCGGUAGGGUUGGAAAACACAGGUAUCUACUGUACUGUUAGUAUGCAGACACCUUCCUGCCAGUGUAUCCUGAAGUAAAUACUGUGCAAUUGUUUUGUCAAGACAAUUCCUUGGCUUGUGUUUGACUACAACAUCAACAUGACUACUGAGUCGCCUCUGUGCUUAACUGAGUUUUUGAUGUAAGACAAUACUCCCCUCCCUCCUCACCCUUGGCACAGCUUGCAUUGGCAGCAGGAGGUACAUUAAAUUAAGUGCCCAUGCCAACUUGUUUACAUGACCUGCCUUUAAAUGGAAGAACUGUUUCCCAAGCAGUCAUGUGACCUAUUACGAUCUCCUUCAGUGUGGGGUGGGGGCGGCAUUUCUUCUGAAGUAAUGCUGCAAACUGCAGUUCCACUGAUCUCUUUUACAAUGAACAUAAAUCACACAAAUGCAAUUCUGAUAUAUAUACACAUGCACGGUAGCCUUUCUGUUGAGAUUGCAACCGGGGGCGUGGAGGGGUGGAAAAAAAUAUCCCCAGCUAAAUAGAGAAGGGUUUGGUAAUUUGGUAAUAUUUGCUAAUAUUCUCGGAACCUUUUGUAAAUUUACAUAAAUAUAAUAAGCUAAAGAUCUUUUUCUCUUUUUGACAAUCCAACACAUUAUAGGCUAUACAGCUAUACACUCACAUACCUCUCCCCUAAAUCUCCAUCACACCCAUCAAUUCACAAUUCAGUCAACGGUAGUUUAUUUGCGUGUGCCAAAAAUCACUUCUGCCUUAUAUACAAAAGGGGGGAAAACAAUUGCGACUGUCACAAUUUUCGCUUGCCUGUUUCCUGUGCCCUGCUUACCUGUUCGUGUGUCCGGCUUACCUGUUUCUGUGUUCCUGUUUACCUGCUCUUGUGUUCCUGUGUUCAUGUCCCGCCCUGUCUCCAGCCCUCUACCUCUUCGCCUCCGACCUGCUCCUGCCCCAUUGGACUGACUUCCUGGUAUCAAACCACUCUCGCUCUAGACCACUCUCUGCCUUAUCUCCAUUGCCCUGUCUGCCCAGCUUCUGACUAUCAUCUGUCCUAUCGUUAUGAACUAUCUUUGUUGUUACUGUUUGCUGGCUAUUGGCCUUGGACUGUACGACUCCAAUAAACGUCCUAUUCUGCCA